CACCUCCUAGUCGGCUGCCCGUUCUCCCGCGAGAUAUGGCACCGCGUGCUCUCGAGCUUCAGGCUCACUGCGGCGAUUCCGACGGCACAGGAUAGAUUCAUCGACUGGUGGAGCGCCGCCACCCUCAACACCCCGCACUCGCUUCGCAAAGGCUUUGCCUCCCUUGUCGUCCUUACUGCUUGGAGCCUUUGGAGACACCGUAACACCGUGCUCUUCGACUCCGCCUGCCCAUCCGCCGACCUAGUGACGCAAAGCAUCCUUGACGAGUCACGGACCUAG
rnacentral:rRNA from 1 species